GUCCACCACACCAUGCUGUCCUUCCAUGGAGCUCAAACAGCACAUGGAGCUCCACCAUGCUGUCCUAGCAUGGUGCUCCAACAGCACAUGGAGCUCCAACUGCCAAACACACAAUGCUGUCUUUCAACAGAGCUCCAGCUGCACACUACACAAUGCUGUCCUUCAAUGGAUCUCAAGCAGCGCACCACACAUUGCUGUUUUUUCAUGGAGCUCCAGAUGCCAACCACACAAAUCUGUCUUUCCACGAAGCUCCAGCUGUCCACCACACCAUGCUGUCCUUCCAUGGAGCUCAAACAGCACAUGGAGCUCCACCAUGCUGUCCUAGCAUGGUGCUCCAACAGCACAUGGAGCUCCAACUGCCAAACACACAAUGCUGUCUUUCAACAGAGCUCCAGCUGCACACUACACAAUGCUGUCCUUCAAUGGAUCUCAAGCAGCGCACCACACAAUGCUGUCUUUCCAUGGAACUCCAGCUGCACACCACACAAUGCUGUCCGUCAAUGGAUCUCAAGCAGCGCACCGCUAACUGCUGUCCUUUCAUGGAGCUCCAGCUGCCCACCACACCAUGCUAUCCUUCCAUGGAGCUACAGCUGCCCACCAAACAAUGAUGUCC